UACGUAGGUGGCAAGCGUUGUCCGGAUUUAUUGGGUUUAAAGGGUGCGUAGGCGGUCCCAUAAGUCAGUGCUGAAAUAUCCCGGCUUAACCGGGAGGGUGGCAUUGAUACUGUGGGACUUGAGUAAAGUUGAGGUUGGCGGAAUUGACGGUGUAGCGGUGAAAUGCUUAGAUAUCUGGAGGAACACCGGUGGCGAAGGCGGCAUCCUGGACCGGCAUUGACGCUGAGGCGCGAAAGCCAGGGGAGCAAACGGG
rnacentral:rRNA from 1 species